CAAAAAAGGGUGGGCUAUAGCCUUGGUGGGGGGCGCGGGCGAAGUUCGUCCGCCGGACUCGGAAUGGGGCGAGACUUUGCGAGGGGCCUCGGGUCGCCAAAAAUAAGCCGCGGGCAAAGCCGCGCCCAAAAAUAAGCGCCCGAAGGUCGUGGUGCCAAAACCCCCCAGCGGAAAAAUGGCCAAAAAACGGGUGGGCUAUAGCCUUGGUGGAGGGCGCGGGCGAAGUUCGUCCGCCGGACUCGGAAUGGGGCGAGACUUUGCGAGGGGCCUCGGGGUGCCAAAAAUAAGCCGUGGGCAAAGCCGCGCCCAAAAAUAAGUGCCCGAAGGUCGUGAUGCCAAAACCCCCCAGCGGAAAAAUGGCCAAAAAACGGGUGGGCUAUAGCCUUGGUGGGGGGCGCGGGCGAAGAUCGUCCGCCGGACUCGGAAUGGGGCGAGACUUUGCGAGGGGCCUCGGGGUGCCCGUGGGAAGUCGCGGGCACAGCCGCGCCCAAAAAUAAGCGCCCGAAGGUCGUGGUGCCAAAACCCCCCAGCGGAAAAAUGGCCAAAAAACGGGUGGGCUAUAGCCUUGGUGGGGGGCGCGGGCGAAGUUCGUCCGCCGGACUCGGAAUGGGGCGAGACUUUGCGAGGGGCCUCGGGGUGCCCGCAGGAAGUCGCGGGCGCAGCCGCGCCCAAAAAUAAGCACCCGAAGGUCGUGGUGCCAAAACCCCCAGCGGAAAAAUGGCCAAAAAACGUGUGGGCUAUAGCCUUGGUGGGGGGCGCGGGCGAAGUUCGUCCGCCGGACUCGGAAUGGGGCGAGACUUUGCGAGGGGCCUCGGGGUGCCCGCGGGAAGUCACGGGCACAGCCGCGCCCAAAAAUAAACGCCCGAAGGUCGUGGUGCCAAAACCCCCCAGCGGAAAAAUGGCCAAAAAACGGGUGGGCUAUAGCCUUGGUGGGGGGCGCGGGCGAAGUUCGACCGCCGGACUCGGAAUGGGGCGAGACAUUGCGAGCCUCGGGGUGCCAAAAAUAAGCCGCGGGCAAAGCCGUGCCCAAAAAUAAGCGCCCGAAGGUCGUGGUGCCAAAACCCCCCAGCGGAAAAAUGGCCAGAAAACGGGUGGGCUAUAGCCUUGGUGGGGGGCGCGGGCGAAGUUCGUCCGCCGGACUCGGAAUGGGGCGAGACUUUGCGAGGGGCCUCGGGGCGCCAAAAAUAAGCCGCGGGCAAAGCCGCACCCAAAAAUAAGCGCCCGAAGGUCGUAAUGCCAAAACCCCCCAGCGGAAAAAUGGCCAAAAAACGGGUGGGCUAUAGCCUUGGUGGGGGGCGCGGGCGAAGUUCGUCCGCCGGACUCGGAAUAGGGCGAGACUUUGCGAGGGGCCUCGGGGUGCCCGCGGGAAGUCGCGGGCACAGCCGCGCCCAAAAAUAAGCGCCCGAAGGUCGUGGUGCCAAAACCCCCCAGCGGAAAAAUGGCCAAAAAACGGGUGGGCUAUA
rnacentral:lncRNA from 1 species